GAACCAAAACGCCGUUAAGUGUUNCCCCGCCUUGGGGAGUANCGGCCANCAGCCAAAGUUGUUGAAACUCCAAAAGGAAAUUUGAACGGGGGCCCCGGCACCAAACCGGUUGGAAGUAAUGCGUGGGCUUUUAAUUUCCGAAUGGCCAAACCGCGGAAAGAAACCUUUACCAGGGGGAUUGGACAAUCCCUUACGAAUUCUCUUUUGGAAAGGAAGAGAGUGCCUUUCGGGAAACGUAGAGACAGGUGGUGCAUGGCUGUCGUCAGCUCGUGUCGUGAGAUGUUGGGUUUAAGUCCCGCAACGAGCGCAACCCUCGUCCUUAGUUGCCAUCAUUAAGUUGGGCACUUUAGGGAGACUGCCGGUGACAAACCGGAGGAAGGUGGGGAUGACGUCAAGUCAUCAUGCCCCUUACAUCCUGGGCUACACACGUACUACAAUGCAACGGACAAAGGGCAGCCAACUAGCGAUAGUGAGCUAAUCCCAUAAACCGUUGCUCAGUUCAGAUUGCAGGCUGCAACUCGCCUGCAUGAAGGCGGAAUCGCUAGUAAUCGCAGGUCAGCAUACUGCGGUGAAUACGUUCCCGGGCCUUGUACACACCACCCGUCACACCAUGGAAGUUGGCCACGCCCGAAGUCGUUACCCCAACCGUUUACGGAGGGGGACGCCGAAGGCAGGGCUGAUGACUGGGGUGAAGUCGUAACAAGGUAGCCGUACCGGAAGGUGCGGCUGGAUCACCUCCUU
rnacentral:rRNA from 1 species